GACGUAGGGGGCCAGCGUUGUUCGGAAUUACUGGGUGUAAAGGGUUCGUAGGCGGUGUAGCAAGUCGGGAGUGAAAUCUCUGGGCUUAACCCAGAGGCUGCUUCCGAAACUGCUGUGCUUGAGUGUGGGAGAGGCGCGUGGAAUUGCAGGUGUAGCGGUGAAAUGCGUAGAUAUCUGCAGGAACACCCGUGGCGAAAGCGGCGCGCUGGACCACUACUGACGCUGAGGAACGAAAGCAUGGGGAGCGAACAGG
rnacentral:rRNA from 1 species